UCCUAGCCCUGAUGGGAAGGAAAAUCCUUUUGUGCUGGGGUUCGGCACAAAAGAUUUGGGAGGACAGCAGGAAAUAGC
rfam:Flavobacterium hercynium strain DSM 18292 43415_contig_32, whole genome shotgun sequence.